UUCGUAUUAAAAAAAAAAAAAAAGAGCAUUCACCUUGUGAUGUCACCAUCACCCCAAGCCCCUCCAGAUCUUUUUCUUCUCCAGUGACACUCUGUCCCCAUUCGAUGCCACCCCCCUCCUCCUCCCCCAAGCCGGGGCACUCACCGUCCGCUUUCUGUCUCUGUGAAUCCAACUCCUCCAGGACCUUGCAGACCUGGAGCCACACAGGAUCUGCCCCUUUGUGACUUAGGUCCCUCGGCAUACUUCCUUCAAGCUUCCUCUAUGCCUGUUGUUAGAUUUUACACUUAGUUUUUAGUUGGACUGUCUUUGUUUUCAUACUGAGGACCCUGACACUGGAAACAGAGCAACCACCUGACAGUUUGCCUGGCUGAGAGGCUUCCUUCUCACCACCCUAACAUAUACUUAGCUUUGCCAUAGUGGGCAUUUUGCAGCAGUUUUCCCGCCUGUCCACUGCACAGUUGGCAUGUUAAUGGCUGCUCAUGGCUCUCAGCACGGCCCGCACCUCAAGGAUGGAGGUUGUGCACCCCCCUCUCCGUUGGGGCAGACUUCAGAGAACCCACAGAAGCCCCUCCUUCUUCCCUAGCAACACAAAGCACCCUGACCACGAGGCACAAUACAGGCAUGUGGUUAGCUCCCUCUCCGAGUACAACAGGCUCUUUUUGUUUUAAAUCUUCUGUUUUGGAGUUCCUAUCCUGGUGCAGCAGAAAUGAAUCUGACUAGGAACCUUGAGGUUGCAGGUUUGAUCCCUGGCCUCGCUUAGCCAGUCGAGGAUCUGGCGUUGCCGUGAGCUGUGGUGUAGGUUGCAGGCAUGGCUUGGAUCUGGCAUUGCUGCGGCUGUGGUAUAGACUGGCAGCUACAGCUCCGAUUAGACCCCUAGCCUGGGAACCUCCAUAUGCCGUGAGUGUGGCUCUAAAAAAAAAGACAAAAAAAAAAUUUUUUUUUUCUGUCUUUUUAGGGCCAUACCUGAUGUACAUGGAGGUUCCCAGGCUAGGAGUCCAAUCGGAGCUGCUGGCCUAUGCCACAGCCAUAGCAACACCAGAUCCAAGCCACAUUUGUGACUUACACUGCAGCUUGCAGCAACACCCGAUCCUUAACCCACUGAACAAGGCCAGUUAUCAAACCCACAUCCUCACGGAUACUAGCCAGGUUCUUAACCUGCUGAGUCACAAGGGAACUUCAAAACCUGCUUUUGGUUUGUUUGCUCUUUAUAAUGAUUAUUUUUAAGUAGUAUAUUCUAAUGGUUAAGUAUAUAUAUACACAGUAAGGGAGUUCCCGUUGUGGCUCAGCAGGGUAAGAACCCGGCUAGUACCCAUGAGGAUUCUCUUGCCUCGCUCAGGGGGUUAAGGAUCCGGCGUUGUGUGAGCUGUGGUGUAGGUCACAGACAUGGCUCAGAUCUGGUGUUGUGGCUGUGGCUGUAGCGUAGGCUGGUGGCUCCAGUUCAGCCCCUAGCCUGGGAACCUCCCUGUGUCAGGAGUAUGGCCAUAAAAAGACACCCCCCCCCAACACACACGUAAGAAUAUGCACUGAAGAUAAGCCUCCUAUCUUGACUUUACUUCCUGGUCCCCUCCCCAGUGGCCUUCUUUCCAGAGACGGUUCACAGAUAAUAAGCACAUGGCUGCCUUUUUACGCAAAAGAUUUCAUCUCAUACCCACUGAUCUGAACCAUGUUUUUUGAAAAAAAUACAGAAAAGUAAGACUGUAAUAUGAAAAGUUCCCGCCACUCAGAGCUGAUUAAAAACUAGCUAUAUUUUUCCCCCACAAAAAAAGAAAUAUCCCAUGUUGCUGUGGCUGUGGUGUAGGCCAGCAACUGUAGCUCUGAUUCCACCCCUAGCCUGGGAAUGUCCAUAUGCCAAGGGUGCGGCCCCCCAAAAAAAAGUGAUGAUACUCAUCGCUUUUGCUUCUUUCUCUUUCUCUCCUAUCUUCCAGUUUCCUCUAAAUGCCAGAAUUAAUCUGCUAUCAUUGUAACCCCAAUUAUACCUCAUGUUUCUGGGUUUAGGGUCAGAUCAACAGCUGGAGGUCACUCAGAGUUAAUCCAGGUGAACCAUGGAGGUUCAGCACAACCAAACGUUCUGGGUGGCCUGGAAUUCACUUUGCCCUGGUGUGUAUUUAUAGGCUGUCCUAAAAUUGCACCAAGUACUGGCACUACUGUUGUGACCUCUUACAACCUUGGGGUGCCCAGCACAACCUGGGCUGCUGAGACCACUUGGGCCCUGGUCUGACCUAACCCUAAGGCCAUUGCAGGGGGUGCUGGCACAGGGGAGCUAGGGCCGUGGUGACUUUUCACUUCUUUCUCAUUCUUUUUAGCUCCUUAAAAUACUCCCCAUGGGAGUUAGGCUUCUCACAGUAAAAGGGAAAGAGAAGAAACAAAAAUGAAGUGAACUUGAUGCCAUAUGGAGUAUUUGAAAGUUGCUAAGAGAGUAGAUCCUAGGAGUUUUCUGGUGGCUCGGUGAGUUAAGGAUCCAGCAUUGUCACUGCUGUGGCUUGAGUUGAUGCUGUGGUGCAGUGAUCCCCAGCCUGAGGACUUCCACAUGCUGUGGGGCCUGGCCAAAAAGAGAGAGAGAGUAGGUUCUAAGUGUUCCCUUCACAAGGAGGAAAAUCUUUUAAAUCUCUAUAGGGUGAUGGAUUUCACUAAACUCACUGUGGUCAUCAUCUCACAAUAUGUGCGAGACAGGUCGCCAUGCCGUUGCCCUAAAACUUACAGAGCACUGUGUGUCAAUUACAUUUCAAAAAUGAAAAAGAGAGAAAGAAAGAAAGAAAGAAAGAGAGAAAGAAAGAAAGAACCCACUUCUUUACAUGAAAAAAUACAAAAAACAAAACAAAACAAAAAAAACACCUCAGUGUUCAGAUUUCCAAACAAUUUCCUUGCCCCUCUUUUGUUAAAAGAUAAGCAGAAACAGUAGGUGUUCUGAGAGAGAAGAUUUUUCUUAGCCUUUCUGGCCUGGACAGUGUCUGAAGUUGUGUACAGUGAACUUUGCAGAGGACACAGUUUCCCAAGAUUGUUUAGCUCAGAGUGAAGGACAUGGCACAUGGGCAGGACAUGUGACUGUCACGCAGGGCAGGUUCUUCGGACCAGUCACCCUGCAUGCUCAUAUUUUGAGCAAACACUGGGACUUGGGUUUCUAAGCACAGCCAGCUUUGUAGGGGUGACACCCCAGUCACCUCCCUCUUCCAGCCGAGAGUCACCAGAACACAAUGUCCCCAUCUUAUGAAUGGGCAUUGUUCUCAGAAAGAAUUCCUAAAUACUUUGUUUAGAACUGGAAGGCACUUUCCCAGAUAAACUAGAGUAUGCGUAAUCCAUACUAUUCAGGGCAGCACAAAAGGACCAACAGAAACCCCACCCUGAGUAGAGACCUGCCUCUCAGGAAACACCUUCCAGUUUGCAAGCUGAGGUCCUGGGACCCUUCCCUACCACCGCAGCCCCUCUGUGAGCAGGGCCACCAGCACGUCCCGGCACCAGGCUGGGCUGAGCCAAGGGAGGAAGGUGUUCUCUGCUGUGGCCUUGGGCCCCCCUGAGGACACAGUCCCACCCUCCUGGUACAGACUGGUGGCCUUACUGCUUUGAGGCUUUGCGGACACAAGGGGAUCCAGCAGUCAAGACAGACUGGAGGGCAGGAAAGCUGACAUUCCGGUCCUGGGAGCUGGGGCGACAUCUACAGAAGAGACACACUCUGGCCCUGGGGCUGAUGUCCAAGGCCAGGGUCCCAUUCAUGGACCCAGGAGAUGGGUGACCUCCUCUCCCCACCCUCAUUCUCCCACCAGCUGAAUUCUUGUCUUCUGAACUCAGAUCCUGUGUGUUCACAGAGGGACAAGUAGUCAGCAACCUGUCCCCUUCCCUCAGGCCUCUCCCUGGUGACUGAAGGGAAGGGUGCUUUUUAUUUUCUUGGCUGCACCCAAAGCAUGCGGAAGUUUCCAGGGCAGGGAUCACACCCACGCCACAGCAGUAACAAUACCGGGUCCUUUAACCACUAGGCCACCAGGGAACUCCCUCCAUUUUUUCUUUUCUUUCUUCUUUUGCUUUUUGGCCACAGGUACAGCAACACCGGAUCCAAGCCAAGUCUGCAACCUACUCCACAGCUCAUGGCAAUGCUGGGUCCUUAACUCACUGAUCAAAGGCAGGGAUCGAACCCGCAUCCUCAUGGAUACUAGUCAGGUUCAUUUCCGCUAGGCCACAAAAGGGACUCCUCUUUUACUUUCUAUGCAGUGGGCAACCUCCCCACCCAUCUCCUGGCUCCCACCCCUACAACCUUCCCUGGGUUACCUCAGUUCAGGCCUCUCCCUCCUCCUGCCACCCCCCACCCUCCAGGGGCCACGGUCCUGCCUGGCCCGAGGGCUUAACUCCUUAUGCUGUGUUAGUUACAUUGCCAGAACAAAUUAAAAUUUUCAGAUAAUCAAAAACAAAACAAACAAGCAAAAGGAACCCAACCGUUUUAUGUAAAAUGAACCCACCAUGGGGCCUCUCUCUGUAAUUCACACAGGCUGAGAAGCUAGUUCUGCCAUCCCGGCCUCACAGCGCCCCGACUCAAGGCUUCCCCAUCCCCUCUCUGUUUCAACACGUACACCAGAUGCCCUUUCUUCACUCUGUGCAAAUCUGUGUCCUUGGCUCUGCACGCCUUGAUCUCUCACCUUAGAUUCAGGACGGCCAAGUUCCUUCAGCUGUAUGCCCCUAUCAGAAGUUUCCUGACUCACCCUUCUUGUUCAAAAUUCACAGUGGCAAGAUGGGGGAAGAUUACUGUACACACCUGAGGCUCACAAGGAAACACACACCUCUGUUGCAGGUGACUACAUCCUGUGAUUACCCAGACAUCCGCUGAGGAACAAGAAGGAGCUUGGAGUCGGUCAGCGUCAAUUAGCAGCUGUGUGAGUCAGAGGAUGUUACUCGACCUCUCUGAAUCUUGUUUUCCCACCUGUAACUUGUGGAUGGUAAUGCCUACCUUGCAGAGGUACUGAGAGAAUUAUAUACAAUACAUGCAAAGCAGCUGGUACAGUAAGGCCUCCACAUGGUAGCUAGAGUUAUUCCCACCUCGGCAGUGAUGACCUUCAAACAUGCAGAGAAUUCGGCUACUUAAGAGCAAGGGCUAACCCAUGCCACUUCCCAGCCUGAGCUCCACUGUUGUCACCCACAUCUGGCAUGCUGGCCAGACUAGGCACUCCCCUCAUCUUCAUUCCACACUCAACCUUUAAAAAAAUAAGUAAAACAGGAGUUUCCGUGUGGCUCAAUAGGUUGGGGAUCAGGCACAGGUGGGUGCUGUGGCAAGGGUUCAAUCCCUGGCCCAGGAUUUCCUCAGGCUGCUGGUGGGGCCAAAAAAAAUUAAAACAACACUGAGGCUGAUCUAAUUCUUCCCAAAUUGGUCCAGAGGAAAAAUCUGAAGCUCCACUGGGCUGCCUGCAAGGACCAUAUACCCUUUUUUUCUUUUUUUUCUCUUUUUAGGGCCACACCUGCAGCAUAUGGAGGAAUCAAAUUGGAGCUGUAACUGCCGGCCUACACCACAGGCAGGUGGGAUCCAAGCCUCAUAUCUGUGACCUACAGGUCACGGCAACAUCAGAUCCCUAACUCUGAGAGAGGCUAGGGAUCGAACCCAUGGAUGCUAGUCAGGUUCUUAACCCGCUGAGCCACGAUGGGAACUCCCGCAUGCCCAACUUUUUGAACCAAGUGACACCAUGUGGCCUCACAGGAGCGCAGCGCAGCCCAGAACCGGCUCUGUGGGAGCCUGGUCCCAGCCAGGCUGGGAGAGGGGUUGGCUGUGUCAGGAAAUGAAACAUGAAGAAACAAAGCACCUUACACCUGCGAAUGGACUCACAUCCCACUCCCUGAAUGCCCUUUCCGUCCACAGUCUAAGAUUCCCAGGCUGGACAAUCCAUGCUCUCAAAUCAGAAGGGACAAAAAUCACGCUGGCCAUUUAUAAAGUCUCAAACACGUGCUGCCACUGCUCCAGAGGUCGUGGGACAUUUACAGGAACAUCUUGCAGUCCUUGUCCUACUCGGAUAUUUCUUUUUGGCAAAGGACUCAGACCUUGCAGAACUGGGAUCCAGCGUUGUCACUACUGUGGCUCAGGUCACUGCAGUGGCACAGGUUCCAUCCCUGGUCAAGGAAUUUCCACAUGCCCAGGGCAUG
ensembl:lncRNA